rnacentral:misc_RNA from 1 species
GAUGAAGAACGUAGUGAAAUGCGAUACUUGGUGUGAAUUGCAGAAUCCCGUGAACCAUCGAGUCUUUGAACGCAAGUUGCGCCCGAAGCCAUCAGGUUGAGGGCACGUCUGCCUGGGCGUCACAUAUCGUUGCCCAAUGCCUAUUGCAGUGCAAUAGGAAUUUCUAGGGCGAAUGAUGGCUUCCCGUGAGCGUUGUUGCCUCGCGGUUGGUUGAAAAUCGAGUCCUUGGUAGGGUGUGCCAUGGUAGAUGGUGGUCGAGUUAGAACGAUACCGAUCAUGUGCAUGCUCCCCAAAAUAUGGCCUCUAUGACCCACAUGCGUCUUUUGACGCUCAUGACGAGACCUCAGGUCAGGCGGGGCUACCCGCUGAAUUUAAGCAUAUCAAUAAGCGGAGGA